UCCAUAGGUUAAUGAGGCGAACCGGGGGAACUGAAACAUCUAAGUACCCCGAGGAAAAGAAAUCAACCGAGAUUCCCCCAGUAGCGGCGAGCGAACGGGGAGCAGCCCAGAGCCUGAAUCAGUGUGUGUGUUAGUGGAAGCGUCUGGAAAGGCGCGCGAUACAGGGUGACAGCCCCGUACACAAAAAUGCACAUAUUGUGAGCUCGAUGAGUAGGGCGGGACACGUGGUAUCCUGUCUGAAUAUGGGGGGCCCAUCCUCCAAGGCUAAAUACUCCUGACUGACCGAUAGUGAACCAGUACCGUGAGGGAAAGGCGAAAAGAACCCCGGCGAGGGGAGUGAAAAAGAACCUGAAACCGUGUACGUACAAGCAGUGGGAGCACGCUUAGGCGUGUGACUGCGUACCUUUUGUAUAAUGGGUCAGCGACUUAUAUUCUGUAGCAAGGUUAACCGAAUAGGGGAGCCGAAGGGAAACCGAGUCUUAACUGGGCGUUAAGUUGCAGGGUAUAGACCCGAAACCCGGUGAUCUAGCCAUGGGCAGGUUGAAGGUUGGGUAACACUAACUGGAGGACCGAACCGACUAAUGUUGAAAAAUUAGCGGAUGACUUGUGGCUGGGGGUGAAAGGCCAAUCAAACCGGGAGAUAGCUGGUUCUCCCCGAAAGCUAUUUAGGUAGCGCCUCGUGAAUUCAUCUCCGGGGGUAGAGCACUGUUUCGGCA
rnacentral:rRNA from 1 species